AAUAUGAUGGUCUAAGAUCCCGCUAUACAACGAACUUCACCGAGCUGGUUAAUGGAUGAAACAUAUUUUAUAUUCAAUUUAACAUAUCAAUAAAUAUAUUGCAUAUGGGUUGCCUAAAAAAUUUCAGUCCUGGAUAUGACUAAUUAAUAAUUAAAACAAAAUUUUUUUUUUAAACAUUUCACCGGUUUGGUUAAUAGACAAAUUUCAUACCAAUCGAAGGUAUGAAGCCCAUAGAAUAUGCAAACGUUAGGUUGCCUAUUUUUUCCCUGGGUAGGUACAAACAG